rnacentral:rRNA from 1 species
CCUCCGUUUUUCCGCCGUCUUUACUUUUUCUCACUUGUCUCAAUCCUUACUCAGCAACGCCGCGUGAUUGAUUAAGCCCUUCGGGGUGUAAAGAUCUGUCAGUGGGGACGAAACUUGACGGUACCCACAGAGGAAGCACCGGCUAACUCCGUGCCAGCAGCCGCGGUAAUACGGAGGGUGCAAGCGUUGUCCGGAAUCAUUGGGCGUAAAGAGUUCGUAGGUGGCAUAUUAAGUCUGGUGUUAAAUGCAGAAGCUCAACUUCUGUUCGGCACUGGAUACUGGUAAGCUUGAAGGCGGUAGAGGUAAAGGGAAUUCCUGGUGUAGCGGUGAAAUGCGUAGAUAUCAGGAGGAACAUCGGUGGCGUAAGCGCUUUACUGGGCCGUAAUUGACACUGAGGAACGAAAGCCGGGGUAGCAAAUGGGAUUAGAUACCCCAGUAGUC